UCAAGCGUUGAAGGGCUUCUGACGGAUGCCUUGGCGUAGAGAGGCGAUGAAGGACGUGGCAAGCUGCGAUAAGAGCCGGGGAGGCGCUAGCACCCUUUGAUCCGGCUAUUUCCGAAUGGGGAAACCCACCUUUGCGGUCUUCCAACUCUGCUCUUCUGGGCAGCGAUUGGCGGAUCGCUAAAAGGUACAAUGACCUGAAUACAUAGGGUUCAUUGAGCGAACCCGGGGAACUGAAACAUCUCAGUACCCGGAGGAAAGGACAUCAACCGAGACUCCCGUAGUAGUGGCGAGCGAACCGGGACCAGGCCAGUGCUCUUGUGAAAUAAAGUCGAACGGAAUGGAAAGUCCGGCCAUAGCGGGUGACAGCCCCGUAGACGUCAAACAGCAAGAGACUCGAGUAGGGCGGGACACGUGAAAUCCUGUCUGAACAUGGGGGGACCACCCUCCAAGCCUAAGUACUCCUCUACGACCGAUAGUGAACAAGUACCGUGAGGGAAAGGUGAAAAGCACCCCGACAAGGGGAGUGAAACAGAUCCUGAAAUCGGAAGCCUACAAGCAGUCGGAGCCGCCAAGCGCGGUGACGGCGUACCUUUUGUAUAAUGGGUCAGCGACUUCAUGUGUCGAGCAAGCUUAAGCCGUUAGGUGUAGGCGCAGCGAAAGCGAGUCUGAAUAGGGCGCUAAGUUCGACGUAUGACGACCCGAAACCAGGUGAUCUAUCCAUGAGCAGGAUGAAGGUAAGGUAACACUUACUGGAGGUCCGAACCCGUGAAUGUUGAAAAAUUCUGGGAUGACUUGUGGAUAGGGGUGAAAGGCCAAUCAAACCUGGACAUAGCUGGUUCUCCGCGAAAUCUAUUUAGGUAGAGCGUCCGACGAAUACCCUGGGGGGUAGAGCACUGGAUGGUUGCGGGCUGCGCGAGCGGUACCAAUACUAACCAAACUCCGAAUACCCAGGAGUACUAUCGGGCAGACACACGGCGGGUGCUAACGUCCGUCGUGAAAAGGGAAACAACCCUAACCAUCAUCUAAGGCCCCCAAGUCAUGGCUAAGUGGGAAACGAUGUGGGAUUGCUUUGACAAUCAGGAGGUUGGCUUAGAAGCAGCCAUCCUUUAAAGAAAGCGUAACAGCUCACUGAUCAAGCGAUCCUGCGCGGAAAAUGUAACGGGGCUAAAGCCAUGCGCCGAAGAUAUGGGUUUGCAGUUUACUGCAAGCGGUAGCGGAGCGUUCCGUAAGCCUGUGAAGGUCAACCGUGAGGUUGGCUGGAGGUAUCGGAAGUGAGAAUGCUGACAUGAGUAACGAUAAACAGUGUGAGAAACACUGUCGCCGAAAGACCAAGGGUUCCUGCGUAAAGCUAAUCUGCGCAGGGUUAGUCGGCCCCUAAGGCGAGGCUGAAAAGCGUAGUCGAUGGGAAGCAGGUAAAUAUUCCUGCACCAGCUGGAAGUGACGGAUGGCAUAAGUCGUCGGGGCUUAUUGGAUUGUUCCCGGCGGUGGCGUUGUCCCUGGAAAUAACUCCAGCAGAGACCGUACCCGAAACCGACACAGGUGGUCAGGUAGAGUAUACCAAGGCGCUUGAGAGAACUGUGCUGAAGGAACUCGGCAAAUUGCACGCGUAACUUCGGAAAAAGCGUGACUCACCCUGGGCAACCAGGAAUGAGUGGCACAAGCCAGGGGGUAGCGACUGUUUAGCAAAAACAUAGGGCUCUGCGAAGCAUCAAUGCGACGUAUAGGGUCUGACGCCUGCCCGGUGCCUGAAGGUUAAAGGGAGGAGUGAAAGCUCCGAACUGAAGCCCAGGUAAACGGCGGCCGUAACUAUAACGGUCCUAAGGUAGCGAAAUUCCUUGUCGGGUAAGUUCCGACCUGCACGAAUGGCGUAACGACUUCCCCACUGUCU
rnacentral:rRNA from 1 species